rnacentral:rRNA from 1 species
UACGGAGGGUGCAAGCGUUAUCCGGAUUCACUGGGUUUAAAGGGUGCGUAGGCGGCCUUGUAAGUCAGUGGUGAAAUACUCCAGCUUAACUGGAGGGGUGCCAAUGAUACUGCAGGGCUUGAGUACAGAUGAGGUAGGCGGAAUUGACGGUGUAGCGGUGAAAUGCAUAGAUAUCGUCAAGAACACCGAUAGCGAAGGCAGCUUACUGGGCUGUAACUGACGCUGAGGCACGAAAGUGUGGGGAGCAAACAGG